rnacentral:lncRNA from 1 species
CAGGGAACUAUCAUCAAUAUCAUUCAGUCUGUUUACGAUCAGGGAACUAUCAUCAAUAUCAUUCAGUAUGUUUACGAUCAGGGAACUAUCAUCAAUAUCAUUCAGUAUGUUUACGAUCAGGGAACUAUCAUCAACAUCAUUCAGUAUGUUUACGAUCAGGGAACUAUCAUCAACAUCAUUCAGUAUGUUUACGAUCAGGGAACUAUCAUCAACAUCAUUCAGUAUGUUUACGAUCUCUGUUUACGAUCAGGGAACUAUCAUAAAUAUCAUUCAGUAUGUUUACGAUCUCUGUUUACGAUCAGGGAACUAUCAUAAAUAUCAUUCAGUAUGUUUACGAUCUCUGUUUACGAUCAGGGAACUAUCAUAAAUAUCAUUCAUUCUGUUUACAAUCAGGGAACUAUCAUAAAUAUCAUUCAGUAAAACACCAGAGGAAGAAGAGGAAUCAUUAUUGAGAUUAAAACAGAGCGGCUAAACUGUUAAACUGCUAAAUGUUUUUAAGUCAAAAAAGGUUAAAUCCUGUAAGUUCAAAGGUAUCAUAAUAAUGCACUGAAAAAGAUGUAAACGAAGAAUUGCGGCACGUCAUGAAUGAAUGGAUAAUGUAUUGUGUUUAAGUUAGUUUCCUGGUUGUGUAGAAGUCUGGAAGACAGGUCUAGAAGAACGUUCAGCAGUGACAGACCUGGCCUAUGAACUUGCUGUAUUCCUGUUUGAUGCAGCUGUACACUGUGUUGUAGAAGUGCCUGUCUGUCGCCAUGAGAUCGGUGACUAUUUCGGUGUGGUCCAUUUUAGGCAUGAGGUACAGGGACACCUUGAUUGAAAGCAAGGUGAGCUGCUCAGAGAACCUCUGGGAAGAUGCCACCGGAACUAUGAUGUCACUCGUUCCGUGCAGCAAGCAGAAAGGUGGCAC